UACAGAGGUGGCGACCGUUGUUCGGAAUCACUGGGCAUAAAGCGCGUGUAGGCGGCAUUGUAAGUCGGGUGUGAAAUCCCUCGGCCUAACCGAGGAAUUGCGCCCGAAACUACUUUGCUUGAGGACGGGAGGGGAGCCUGGAAUUCCUGGUGGAGCGGUGAAAUGCGUUGAUAUCAGGAGGAACAUCGGCGGCGAAGGCGGGUUGCUGGGCCGACACUGACGCUGAUGCGCGAAAGCCAGGGGAGCGAACGGG
rnacentral:rRNA from 1 species